AGCAAAUCUCAAAAAGCCGUCCCAGUUCGGAUCGCAGGCUGCAACCCGCCUGCGUGAAGUUGGAAUCGCUAGUAAUCGCGGAUCAGCAUGCCGCGGUGAAUACGUUCCCGGGCCUUGUACACACCGCCCGUCACACCAUGAGAGUUGGAGAUACCCGAAGCCUAUGAGCUAACUUUUAGAGGCAGUAGUCGAAGGUAGAAUCAAUGAUUGGGGUGAAGUCGUAACAAGGUAGC
rnacentral:rRNA from 1 species